rnacentral:tRNA from 1 species
GGAGAGAUGGCUCAGUGGUUAAGAGCACUGACUGCUCUUCCUGAGGUCCUGAGUUCAAUUCCCAGCAACCACA